CUGGUCCGUCAGCUCUUCCCUGGAUGGCUUCUCCCCAGACAGACAGUUUGCACCUGACCUCAGCUGGAUCUUCACAGCUUGGGUGCUAAAAUCGUGCCAGGAAACUCGAUGAAGCUUCCCUCCUUUCCCACAGAAAGCAGGACAGGGCCUGGCUCACUCCGCCUGGCAGCAGGCUGCUGCAGAAACGCGGGGAAGAGCUGAGGUGCGAACCGCAAUCAUCCUCCAGCUCUGCGAGGUGUUAAUAGCUCUGUCUAGUCGGGGUCAUUUCAAUACUAAUGUCAUCGUGCAAAGGCAAUCGAAGAAACAAACACUCAGCCCUCAGCCAAGGGAGACUUCGAGACAUUUUUCUGUGUCGGUUUGUCCCAGCCGAGCUCCCCCCGGUUUCCCCAGGACCACGCAGUGUUGGUAUGCCGGGAGUGGCGCUGCCGGCUGCAGCCCUGGGUAGAGCGCGCUGUUUCUCCUGGCCAUGCUGGAGCUCACGCAAGCACUCCUCAGGCUUGUCCCAGGGCCCUGCAGCCUUGGCGGGAGACAAGGGCUGGUUUUGUGGCGUGAACACCUCUCUGCUCCCUCGGCCUCAAUCCAUCCUUCGCUUCGUCCGUUUGCCAGUCCUGGGACCUCCGCCUGGCUCAAACUGCUCAGGCUCCUUCGCCGACCUCAGGCAGUGGCUGYCACCACCUCCCAAGUCCAGCCGGGUGCACAGAGCAGCUCAGUUCUGUCCUGAGCAAAGGUCCAAGCCCUGCUUUGCUCCUGUGAGUCACCACACUGACUGCCUCGGGCAGCGGCUGCCCGGUCACGCUCGUGCCAUGUGGGUGGCACUGCUACGGCAGCAUGCUGCCAGGCCCGGGACAAAGCAGGCCACCUGCCCAGUGCGCUGCAGACGCGGCAGCGAGAGGGGCCCGAGCCCCUCGAGGGGACUGGAGGGACCACGAAGGCACAGUGCAGUGGGGAGAGGGGCUGGAGCCCGGGGGAUUAGAGGRCCACAGAGAGACGGUGUGGUGAGGAUGGUCCACGAGUGGCUGGCCUCAGCUAAAGGAGGAAGGAUGGAUGAGGGAGACAGUGCAAUGGGAAGGAGUCGGAAGAGUGCGGCGAGGUACCCGGCUCCCCAACGCAGAGGGCUGCGAGAAGCCUCCGCUGGAUGCGAGCUAGGGCUGGCAGAGGGGCCCAGGCUGCCUCCUCCCCGCUCCGGAGAAAUCCCCACGCGAGCGAUGGCCAGGCAGCGAGGAGGGAGCCCCGAGGCAGAGCCCGGGUGGGACGCGGCCAUCCCCGGCCUCGGACCUGCGGGGUUCAGCCGGGG
rnacentral:lncRNA from 1 species